rnacentral:rRNA from 1 species
CUCGUAGGCGGUGUGUCGCGUCGGCCGUGAAAACUUGGGGCUUAACUCUGAGCGUGCGGUCGAUACGGGCAUCACUUGAGUUCGGCAGGGGAGACUGGAAUUCCUGGUGUAGCGGUGAAAUGCGCAGAUAUCAGGAGGAACACCGGUGGCGAAGGCGGGUCUCUGGGCCGAUACUGACGCUGAGGAGCGAAAGCGUGGGGAGCGAACA